ensembl:misc_RNA
CUGACCACACUCCACCAAGCCUUGUUCCACGGUACCUGGGUGUCCAUGGUGCGGGCCAGUCAUCAUGACGGUUCUUGGUAAGUGGGGGGCUGAACCCACAGGUUCUCUCCUUUGAGGGGCCAGUGGGCGACCCUCUUGGUGUUUGCAUUUGAGAGUUGAAGAG